rnacentral:rRNA from 1 species
GACGAACGCUGGCGGCGUGCUUAACACAUGCAAGUCGAACGGAAAGGCCCUGCUUUUGUGGGGUGCUCGAGUGGCGAACGUGUGAGUAACACGUGAGUAACCUGCCCUUCACUUUGGGAUAACUUCAGGAAACUGGGGCUAAUACCGGAUAGGAUCUCCUGCUGCAUGGUGGGGGUUGGAAAGUUUCGGCGGUUGGGGAUGGACUCGCGGCUUAUCAGCUUGUUGGUGGGGUAGUGGCUUACCAAGGCUUUGACGGGUAGCCGGCCUGAGAGGGUGACCGGCCACAUUGGGACUGAGAUACGGCCCAGACUCCUACGGGAGGCAGCAGUGGGGAAUAUUGCACAAUGGGCGGAAGCCUGAUGCAGCAACGCCGCGUGCGGGAUGACGGCCUUCGGGUUGUAAACCGCUUUCGCCUGUGACGAAGCGUGAGUGACGGUAAUGGGUAAAGAAGCACCGGCUAACUACGUG